UGUCGACUUGAGUGGAUCUUUUCGAUCCUCCCCUGGACCCAGUCCAUCUGGGAUCGAGGCUAGCCCAAUCCGACUCCGAGCCUCAUCCUCAUCUGGCAGUGCAGCCACCAGUUUUUCAUGUAUGAAGUCUGAGUUAACAAAGGUGACCUUGAUCCCAUGAUCAGAAAUCUGGUACGCAAACUUCAUAAGGGGAGUAACAUGUCCUUGUGCUGGGAAUGGAAUAAUCAGCACAUGAGGUCGCCUGCCCAUGGUUGCUGCCAACAUGUCCACACACUUCUGCUUCGUCUGAUCCGAAGUUUCAGGAUUAAUACCGAUUCUCUUUAUUAGCCUGAGCCCUCUAUUGUGUGAAUCGUAUACCUAUUUGCAAAAAUUUUAGCUGCAGCCCAUCUCUUACACAUGAACUUCAUACAUUAUCUGAAAGAUAUGGUGUUGUGGCUCAAAUUCUUUGGCACUUGGCUUUUAUCUCCUAUCUAUUCUGUCUUUAUCAAGUGUCUUGCGUGUCUCUCCCGUUACUUUGGUGUAAUUUUAAAGCUAUAUUGCACUGAUAAACUUUUGGUUUCUACAUUACACACUCCAUAUAUGCAUUAAACUUUUUGUUAGUGCAGUCAUUGGAUUGUAGCCAUUUUUUCUACUUGGUUUUUCCACCAAGUUAUUGAUACCCUAUGGAUUUAUUCUCAAGUGCUUCAAGGUAUAUUAUCAGAAGUUACCAUUGGUUGUUUGCUUUGUCUUUUAUCUAGCUAGAACCUCAUAUGUAGCUAGCCUCUUUUUGUUGUUGCAUGAUUGGUUUGAGCUCUUCCUUCUUAUCCCAUGUGUUUGUUGACCAAGCUUGUAUUGAUGUUGAACCUGAUUGAUGCUAGUAGCAAGGGAAAUGAAAAUUUGGACAAUGGCUAGAUUUCACCUUAAUAAUAUCACUCUCAAAUGCUUCUACAUAAUUCCCAAAUACUUUAGCAUAUAUUCUAGCUAGGGAAGUGAUCUCUAGUUUUUUUCUGUCCUUUAUGGAGGGUCUUAAGCAGCCAGCCUCGUUUUCUAGUUGUAUGGCUUUUAGUUCUUGGUUCUUUUCCCAUAUAUUGGUCUUUUUCUCUAUCUUAUAUGCCUUCAAAUGAUCCCAUUUUCCUCUGGGUUCAGCCCUAAACCCACCUUUGUACAUCACAGAUACGGAAGUGGUCGCCAAGGUAAGGACAAACCUUCACCAUUCAGUUCCAAGCAGAGUGGAUUAAGAAACCAGCAAGGACAAACCCUUGGCAUUGAUUCACUCAGCCGGUGGCAGAGCCAAGAAUUUUUCUCAGAACAAGCAUUACAAUAACCCUGGAUGAAUUUUAGAAAUUGCUGAAAAUGAGUAACUUUAGACUUUAGUCAUGAAUAAAUAUAACAUAUCAAAUUAAAAAUUAAAAUUAGAUUUUAUUAACUUACUAGUUAAAAAUUGAAAUUUAAAAAGAAAAUUUUCAAAAAGUUAAAAAAUGGUAAGAAAAUAAGAAAUCUUACUAGUUAUUUCUCAAUAAUUUUAAUAAUCUCUUCCUAGUAAAAAGGUUCUUUAAAAAAUUUAUUUUUUUCCCAAACAGCUACAUAUAAAUGAGUUGGAAGUAAUAAAAUAUUUUAUUAAUAUUUUCCUAUGAUAUAGUAAGAUGUUAAAAUUCCAAGUAAAAUAUAAAUAGUUAGUUAGAGUUUGAUAUUUAUUAUUAUGUAUUAAGGUACCCUAUUCUAACAAAAUUCUAGAGCACCCAAGAGGUAUUGUUUAGAAGAUUUACUAGUAAUAAUUGGAUUUCUGAUUUCAAUCUUCAUAAAGUAAUAGCAAGAACCAAAACUAAUAAAAAGAACUUGAUUAUAAGGUUUUGGUUAACAAUUUUUUUUUCCAAAUAUUAUGAGGUCUAUGCUACAUAUUUUUUGAGAUGACAUUUAAAACCAUUCAAGUACAAUUGAAUUUGUUUGGGUGAAUAAUAACAUUAAAGGAUGUACUUCGAGUUUAUUGUAUGAUGAAACCCUUUUGAGCAGAAAAAAAAAAAAACCAAUUUUGCAUAUGAGUGUAUGCUUGAGACUAUUUCUGUAUAUAUUUGUCAUUUUUUAUUUGUGUUAUUGGUUGAGCUCGCCAGGGUUUUCAAAGUAUAAAUACACCUUAUUUUGUCAAAUAUUUUAAAUACUUGUUUCAUGUAAACUUAUGUAUUUGCUCUUUGGUAUUUAAUGAAUUUGCUUUGUUAGUGUCAAAUUGGGUUUGUGUUUUAUAUUUGUUGAGUUUUUAGUAGAAUGUAAGAGUGAUAUAUUUAUAGAGCUUAAAGUAAACUCUAUGGGUGAUUUUCUGUGUAAUACAUAUCUUUUGUGCGGUUGGAAUUCAUGCAUGUUAAUAUCUAAAUAUCUCAUAUUAAUUCAAGAAAUAUUUUUGUGAAAAAAUUGAACUUUAAGACAUAAAAUCAUUAUUACCUAUGCACCCUCCAUAAAUCUCAAGAAUCAAGAUUCAUACUUUCAAUUGGUAUAGAAGCAUGUUGAAUUUAAAAAAUUAAAAUCUUUUAUUCCUACACAAUCUUGAUUCAUGGAACCACAGUGACCAGAUCAUCAAUGAAAUUUUUAUCAUUGCUUUAUUUGACAAUUUCUGUGGCUAGGAAUACAACUUGAGUAGGUUGGGUUGGGUUGAUGACGAUUUAACAUUUAACACAUUUGGAUAUGGUAGCAUUGGAAAAUAUCUUCAUUGUUUCAGUGCUUCAACAAAGGUUUGGAAAUUCUUGUAAGAAGAUCCACCUUCAAUCACACUUUUUCUAGCCAUUUCCUUCAACUUCUCUGCAUUUGCUUUUAUACCAUCAUCAGAAACCAACUUUUCAAUCUUCUUCUUAAUCUCAUGCCUUGAUAUGAAUCCAUUUUCAUCUGGGUUCAAUUCCAAGCCCACCUUCCAUUUGUCGCAUAUGUAACUCUGGUUAUGGAAUUGAUCUGCAAAGUAGGGCCAGCAUAGGAAGGGGACUCCCAUGCCUAUGCCGUCCAUGGUUGAGUUCCAUCCACAAUGGGAUAAGAAACAGGCAACAGAAGGGUGAGCUAACACCUCUUUUUUUCAUUUUUAAAUCCAAGAUAGAUGCAUUUUGCACGGAAAUGAUGUUGUUUCGCUUGGGUAAAAAUCUCCCUUUUCAAGCCCUAACCCCUCUCCCCUUUGCCCCCAUGCCCAACCGUUCCUUGCCCUCUCCAGGAGCCUUCCUCAGCCCCCCACCUUCGGCACCUCUAGCCAGCAGGCUUGCGCCGACACAGACGCCAAUGGAAGACAGUGACGCCGAUGGACGAAUGCGACGUCGACGAUUUACUAUUUAAAUAUUUAUCAUUUGAUUUAUCUAAUUAUUUUAUUUGAUAUUUGUAUCAUUUUUAAUUUCUAAUUUUUUUAAAUUUUGAUUUUUAAAUAUGGGAUUUUAUAUUUAUGAUUUUAAUUUUUAAAUUUAUGAAUUUAAAUUUCUUAAUUUCGAUUUAAAUCAUUUGAAAAUAAAUUUUUGGUUUAAAAAUAAGUUUUUGGUUUAAAAAUAAUUUAAAUUUUUUUAAUUUUAAAAUAAAUAUAUGAUUUUCAAAUAAAUUCUGAUUUUAUAAAUUUGUGAUUUUAUAUUUAUGAAUUUAAAUUUCUGAAUUUGAUUUGAAUCAUCUUAUUCAUUUAAGAAUAAAUUUUUUAUUUUAAAAUAAGUUUUUGAUUUAAAAAUAAAUUUUAAAUUUUAUGAUCUUAAAAUAAAUAUCUAAUUUUCAAAUAUAUUUUCUAUUAUCAAACAUAUUUUUGACUUUUAAAUAAAUAUAUGAUUUUAUAAAAAAAUUAUGAUUUUUUAAAAUUAUAAUGUUUUGAAUUUAUGUUUUCAAUUAUCAAUUGAAUUUAUGAUAUUAUUAUUAUUUUUUAUCAUUUUUUUAUUUUAAUAAUAUAUGUACACUAUAUAUUAUAUAUUUAUGAUGUCACCUAUUCAAUCGCGGUUCAACACCAUUUCAAUUCAUGAUGCAUGAACCAAUAACUUUUCUAAUUUAAAGACUGAUCAAAAUAUUGAUUAAUAUUAUAUAAAUUGAAUUUAUAACAUUUUUAUAAAUUAAAAUAUAAAAAUUAUUUUUAAAAAUAACUUGCCAAACGCCCCUAUUUUUAUAAAAUACUAAAAAUUUAUUUUUUGCUCUUUUAACUUAAUAACAGUUUUUAAAGACAAACAUUACAAAACAUGGCUAAACGGCCCUUAGCUCCUAGGUUUCAGCAAAAGAUUCAAAACAACUCCAUCUUGUGGCCUCCGUCAACAUGUUUUGUUGCCCAAUUUUUGUGUAAGCUCUAAAUAAUGCUGCUUUCGAUUUUCAAUUGCUCUGUUCGUGCACUUUUUUUUAUAUGUUGCCAUGUAGACAACAGUAUAGUUCUUGAUCCCCCAAUCGUACAUAAUUCUUUGCUCCGCUACUAAUGCAUUACAUCAAAAUCUGUCUUUAAUUAACUCUACCCAUGAUUUUUGUUCACUAAGAUCACAUACCAACCCCUGCACUUGCAUACACAGCAUGAAUGCACUCGCUUUUAUUGAGAGAAUGGUUUCACACAUUUGAAUGUGGCAACAUUGGGAAGCAUCUUCAGUGUUUCAUUGCUUCAAUAAAGGUUUUGAAAUUCUUGUAAGAAGAUCCGCCUUCGCUUACACUCUUUCUAGUCAUUUCCUUCAACUUCUCUGCAUUUGCUUUUAUGCCAUCAUCAGAGACCAACUUUUCAAUCUUCAUCUUAAUCUCAUGCCUCGAUAUGAGUCCAUUUUCAUCUGGGUUCAAUCCCAAGCCCACCUUCCAUUUGUCGCAUAUGUAAUUCUGGUCAAGGAAUUGAUCUACAACGUAGGGCCAGCACAGGAAGGGGACUCCCAUGCUUAUGCUGUCCAUGGUUGAGUUCCAACCACAAUGGGAAAAGAAGCAUGCAACAGAAGGGUGAGCUAAAACCUCUUCUUGGGGUGCCCACGAGACAAUCUUUCCAUGGUCAGCUACUCUCUCAAUGAAACCAUCAGGGUAUUCAGCAGCUGAUCCAUCGGUGAAGUCUGAUCGGACAACCCAUAAAAAUGGUCGGCCUACAAGUUCAAUACCAAGUGCUAAUUCAUUGAAUUGGUGCUGGGUUAAGUUUCCGGUGCUGCCAAAAGCAACAUAAAUGACUGAGCCAGCAGGUUGUUUAUCGAGCCAGCCUAUGCAAGUUGAAUCCUCAGGCCAAAAGUUUGCAGCAUAAUGACCCGGAUCACUACUUGCAGGUAACGGGCCAAUUGGUAAUAAGUUAGGAAUCAAGUCACAAGCAGAUGAGUCAAGUUCGUAAACACAGUUGCAAGGAAGCCUCUUGGAAGAAUCCAUAAAUUGAAUAGAUGUGAGAUAAAUUCGGAAAACCCACUCUUGUACCUUCAGAUCAAUUGGCCACUUCCAGGGCAAGCCGUUGCAGCUCAAGACUGGAAUACCCUUCGACACGCAGAUCAACUCAUCUUUCAGAGGAGUUCCUGCAGAGAUAUUUGAAUCAUUUCUAUCAAAACCAAGAAAUUUCUUAGACAACAAGUUAAUUUUAGAAAUAUGAUAUAAAUUAACAAGUUGAAGCCUUAAUACCAUCAGUACUAUUUACGAUUCCACUCAAUUAACUUUGGAAUAUGAAGUGCCAAAGCCCAGAUUCCUGCUCCCAUAGGACAAAAAAGGACCCCUUCGAUUCCCAUCUUCUCUGCCACCUCCAUUGGCCACCGCUCAAGUGUUAUGUCAGCAAUAACACAAGUGAUCUGCUCAUCAUCAUUCGAGCGGUUGACUUUCUCAAUUAAAUCCUUCAAAUGACCCGGCAUGACUCUUGAACUACUUUCUGUUAUCUUGAGCAAGUUUUUCCGAUCGUCCCCUGGAUCCAGACCAUCUGGGAUAGAGACUAGCCCUAUCCCACUCUGAGCCUCAGCCUCAUGUGGGAGUGCAGCCAGCAGUUUAGCAUGUAUGAAGUCAGAGUUAACAAAGGUGACCUUGAUCCCGUGAUCAGAAAUCCGGUGUGCAAGCCUCAUAAGAGGAGCAACAUAUCCUUGCGCUGGGAGUGGUAUAAUCAGCACAUGAGGUCGCCUGCCCAUGGUCCUUGCUAACUUGCCAACACUUCCACCCUUCUCUUUGCUCUGAUCCCAAGCUUCACUAAUAUUGAUACUAUUUUAUUUGCCUAAGCCCUCCUUGGAACUGCAUUUAUGAAUUUUAUACCUAUUGUCCUCCUAAUUGAGGUGCAAAACUUUUUUCCCUUUCAAAAAACAAAGGGAAUAUGAAGUCCUUGCUAGCUUUUUUAACAAUGAAAACUAGUGGAAGUUCACCGACACUGUAGGGACCCCUCCCCCUGAUGACACGUGGCACACAUUUCUAUCCGGAUUAGCCCCAUCCGGAUUUUCCCAAGAGGACACAUGGCACGCUUCUCCUAUCCGGACUCCCUCAGGAGAGGCACACGACACUCGUAAACAUCACAUCCGGACGACCGACAUAGCCUAUCCGGAUAUGUUUGUCCGGAUCAUUGACUAAAGUAAGUAAGUCUUACUACGUCAUUCCGACAGCUUGCCACGACCCACGUUUCGCCAUCUGCAGAGUGAAAAGACAGGAAUGAUGGCAAGUCACUUCCCACGAUCUCUGACAGCUGCGGCGCCUCCCACGAUUUCUGUCAGCCGCCUGUAGGGUGAUGAUGGCCUUGCCACCACCUAGAGGCAUCAUGACAAGCCAAAAUAUCUCCCUAUCAUUAAAGAGGGAGACAGAGCUUCUGAUACUAUAUAUAUGGACCUUCACACAAGGAGGAAGGUAAGCUUGCGAUACCUAGUAAAAAGCCAACUAAUUAUUCUCUCUAACCAUGGUUGACAAAACCAUCGGAGGGUGUGUCCGAACACCCUGUCCGGACGCCUUUUGCAGGAACGACUGAACCAGGACUCUAUAUUGGUUGAGAUCGUGCGUCCAUUCAUUUGGCAACUACGUGGAUCACCAGGGACGCGAGGCCUCAACAUUGGCGCCGUCUGUGGGAAUUUAUUGAUUCAGUCACCGACAAAUAUGACCACACCUUCUAGAAGCCGCUCGUCUAGUAGGGGAGAGGAAGAUAACUCUGAAUGGCGCCAAGCCAUUAAGAGAAGACAGUUAGCGAGCGAACGACAACUACAAGCUCUCCUCCAGGAGACAGAAAGACUAAGAGAAGAGAACGCUGUGUUGCGUAUAUAGGCUUCAUCGACGGGGCCUCCCCGUCGUCAGCGUUCAAGAGGCCAGGUAGCAAACUCAAGGCCAGACCCAGAGUCAAUAUACCCUGGGACAGCGGGAGCCAUCCCAGAAACAGGCAAUGUUAGACCACAUGAGCCACACACGCCCCUGCACCGAGCUCCCCAUGAGGAAAGCUUAGACUCUACUCAUUUUUCAGCAAAAAGACAACGCGAUAGAAGAUCCCAGUUGUCAAACUCAAUGCGCGCAAGACUAGGCCCACAAGAGCCUGGAAGGCCAAGGCCGCCAGUAGCCACAACCUGGGCAGCACACCCUGACCCUAUGGUCACCCCCAUGGUGCAGAACGUUCUCCCGCACCAUGACCCUAUGGUCACCCCUAUGGUGCAGAACGUUCACUCGCACCUAGCGGUACGACAAGCUGGGAGAAACCUCCCAAACGAGCCACCCAUUGGCUCCAUCAGCAAAAGGUUGGACGACAUGCUCUCCACGCCUUUCUGCUCUCAUAUCAUUCAUUACGAGCCCCCAAGGGGAUUCCUUGUGCCAAAAUUCUCCACAUACGAUGGCUCCAGCGACCCCUUCGAUCAUAUCAUGCAUUAUCGACAGCUCAUGACUCUCGAUAUAGGCAACGACGCGCUGCUAUGCAAAGUAUUCCCCGCCAGCCUACAAGGGUAGGCCCUCUCAUGGUUUCACCGCCUACCUCCCAGCUCUGUUGAUAAUUUCAGAGACCUAUUGGAAGCCUUCGUGGGACAAUACUUAUGCUCCGCUCGACAUAAGCAGAACAUCAACACUCUGCAAAACAUAAAAAUGCAGGAUAACGAAUCCUUAAGGGAGUUCGUGAAGCGGUUUGGUCAGGCCGUACUACAGGUAGAGGCUUACAGCAUGAAUGCUGUCCUGCAGAUCUUCAAGCAAAGUAUCUGUCCAGGCACCCCAUUUUUUGAAUCACUCGCUAAAAAGCCUCCUACGACGAUGGACGACUUGUUUCGGCGUGCGAGCAAAUACUCAAUGCUCGAAGAUGACGUGCGAGCAGCCACCCAACAAGUCUUGGUUGUCGGAUAGGCAUCCAGAAGUGGCACGAAAAGAAGUGCCAAACUUCCGGACCGGCCAAGGCCGUCCGAUCGAAGGCAGGAAGGGCCAAGUCGCCCGGAAAGGCCGUCCCUCACACCCCUUUCCAUAUCCUAUGAGAAGCUUCUCCCUAUGAUCCAAGACAUGUCCGACUUCAGGUGGCCUAGAUCCAUCGGAACGGACCCAUCCAAAAGGGAUCAUAGUAAAAAAUGUGCCUUCCAUAAGGAGCAUGGUCACACAACGGAGACAUGCAGGUGCCUCCAUUAUUUGGUCGAAAGGCUCAUAAGGGCGGGACAUUUAAAGCAAUACCUCCGCUCAGAUACCGGAGAUAGAGAUGCUUCCCGAAAUCACAACUCUGGAGCCCCUAGGGCCCUAGCCGCCCCCAAAGCCGUUAUAAACUAUAUUAACGGAGGCCCAUCUGACGAGGAGUACGACUCCAAACGAAAGAGACAAAAGUUGUUGCGGGCAGCAUCAGUGCGCGAGCGUGUCAACUCCAUCCGGCCUGGGAUAACUGGGGGGGCCCUCGCCCCAUAGAUGGGACAAUCAUUUUCCCACCAGUAGACCCCACCUGGAUAUUGCAGCCGCAACGCAACGCCCUCAUCCUGUCCCUAAAGAUAGGAGACUUCGACGUGAGACGCAUCCUGGUUGACCCAGGCAGCUCGGCCGAUCUUGUGCAAGCAUCGGUCAUUAGCCACAUGGGGCACAGUCUCACAGGCCUCGAAAACCCUGGGCGAAUCCUGUCCGGAUUCAACAGGGCGUCAACUACUUCCUUGGGAGACAUUGUAUUGCCGGUCCAAGCUGGCCCAGUCACUCUCAACGUACAAUUUUCGGUGGUACAAGAUUUAUCACCCUUCAAUGUCAUCUUGGGGCGCACAUGGCUGCACUACAUGAAAGCCAUCCCCUCUACAUAUCAUCAAAUGGUAAGUUUCCUUACCAAGGAUGGGCAAAUUGACCUAUACGGCAGCUAGUUAGCCGCUCGCCAAUGCUACCAGAUAGCACGAGAAGCAGGGACCAGCCAGGAGGAUGCAUCCCUCCCUGAGUCCAGCCAUGCACGUGACCAAUAGCAAUUAUUGAGUUCGGCGGUCAAAGAUCCCCCGACAGCGGAUCCCUUGCAAACGAUCCAAAUUUCAGAAGAAGGUACUCACCUUACGAAUAUCAGUUCCCUUCUAACACCAGAAGAGACCCGGAACAUGCAGAACGCCCUUAGACAAAACCAUGACGUCUUCGCAUGGGCACAUUCUGAUAUGAAGGGAAUUCAUAUCUCCAUUACCUCUCAUAGGCUUAACGUCUUGCCAAUAGCCAGACCUAUCCGGCAGAGGGUUAGACGUUUUCACCCAGACAUACAAAAAAUUAUCCGGAAUGAGAUUGACAAGUUGCUAGAAGCCGGAUUCAUCAGGGAAGUGCAUUACCCGGACUGGUUGGCAAAUGUAGUGGUGGUACCAAAAAAAAAAGGCAAAUGACGGGUAUGCGUCGACUACACCAACCUCAAUAAUGCAUGCCCAAAAGACAGUUUCCCUUUGUCACGGAUAGAUCAAAUUGUGGACUCCACUGCUGGGCAAGGGAUGCUCUCCUUCUUGGACGCCUUCUCCGGAUACCACCAAAUCCCCAUGUCCCCGGCUGACGAAGAAAAGACAGCCUUCAUAGCACCACAUGGUCUCUAUUGCUACAAAGUCAUGCCAUUCGGACUCAAAAACGCUGGCGCCACUUAUCAGAGACUGAUGACGAAGAUCUUCAAACCUCUGGUCGGCCGCACAGUAGAGGUAUAUAUUGACGAUAUCGUGGUUAAAAGCAAAACCCGAGAGGAACAUGUCCUCCACUUGCAAGAAGUCUUCCACCUCUUAAGGAAGUAUGACAUGAAGUUGAAUCAUUCUAAAUGCGCCUUUGGCGUAAGUGCUGGCAAAUUCCUGGGAUUUAUGGUCAGCCAAAGGGGGAUAGAGGUCAGCCCAGACCAAGUCAAGGCAGUCAUGGAAACACCACCCCCCAGGAGCAAAAAGGAAUUACAGCGCCUCACAGGCAAGCUUGUCGCGCUAGGGCGUUUUAUAGCCCGCUUCACUGAUGAACUGCGACCCUUCUUCUUAACAAUACGAAAAGUAGGAGCAAACGGAUGGAUAGACAGCUGUCAAAGCGCUUUUGAAAAAAAUUAAACAUUGCCUCAUGCAACCGCCCAUCCUGAGCAGUCCCCUCCCUGAAGAAAAACUGUAUAUGUAUCUGGCUGUAUCGGAGUGGGCAAUUAGCACUGUUCUAUUCCACUGCCCCUCACCCAAGGAGCAGAAACCUAUCUACUACAUUAGUAGAGCAUUGGCGUACGUAGAAACCAAGUAUUCAAAGAUGGAGCUAACGGCCUUAGCUCUUUGAAGUGCCGCCCAGAAGCUCCGCCCCUACUUCCAAGCCCACCCGGUGGUCGUGCUAACUGACCAGCCCCUUCGCAACAUUCUACACAAGCCAGACUUAACCGGAAGAAUGCUUCAAUGGGCCAUAGAGUUAAGCGAAUAUGGAAUCGAGUUCCAACCCAGGCUGUCCAUGAAAGGCCAAGUUAUGGCUGACUUCGUGCUGGAAUACUCCCGAAGGCCUAUCCAGCGCAAGGAACCAAGUGAAAAAGAGUGGUGGACUUUGCGGGUCGAUGGAGCCUCACGAUCAUCAGGAUCCGGAGUAGGACUCCUACUGCAAUCACCAACAGGAGAACAUCUGGAGCAAGCCAUCAGGCCGGGGUUCUCCGCCUCUAGCAAUGAAGCGGAAUAUGAGGCCAUCCUAUCCGGAUUGGACCUCGCACUGGCUCUAUCCGUCUCCAAGCUCCGGGUUUAUAGUGACUCCCAACUCGUGGUAAGGCACGUUCAGAAGGAAUACGAAGCUAAGGAUGCAUGCAUGGCGCGAUAUCUGACUAAAGUAAAGGACACCUUACAACGAUUCACUGAAUGGACGAUCGAAAAAAUCAAACGAACUGAAAAUGGAUGUGCCGACGCCCUAGCAGGCAUAGCUGCCUCCCUCCCCAUCAAAGAAGCCAUAUUGUUGCCUAUACAUGUGUAAGCCAACCCUUCCGUCGCGGAAACCUCCAUUUGCAAUACCAUUGAGGCAAACCAAGUAGACGGCCAAGAGUGGACAGAAGACAUUAUAAGGUACCUCCAGACAGACACUCUGCCUGAAGAGCCCAAGCAGGCACAUAAGCUCAGGGUGCAAGUCGCCCGUUUCACCCUGAUUGGGGGGCACUUGUACAAGCGAUCCUUCACAGGUCCCUAUCUCCGGUGCCUUAACCACUUAGAGGCCCUGUAUGUAUUAGCUGAAUUGCACGAGGGAGUAUGUGGAAAUCAUUCUGGAGGUUGAUCUCUGGCACACAGGGCCCAUUCGCAAGGAUAUUACUGGACCAUGAUGAAGAAGGAUGCGGUAGCCUAUGUCAAAAAAUGUGACAAAUGCCCAAGGCAUGCCCCCAUACCACAUGUGCCGUCGGAGACAUUGAAGCCAAUUUCAGGCCCCUGGCCCUUCGCGCAGUGGGGCAUGGACAUAGUAGGACCCCUACCAACCGCACCCGCUCAAAAGAAAUUCCUGCUUGUCGCCACGGAUUACUUCAGUAAAUGGGGGGAAGCUGAAGCAUACGUUAACAUCAAAGACAAAGAUGUCACCAAGUUCGUGUGGAAGAACAUCAUCUGCUGCUUCGGAAUCCCCCAAACCAUUAUAGCCGACAACGGUCCACAGUUUGAUAGCAUCGCUUUGCGGAAUUUCUGUUCGGAACUAAACAUCCGGAAUUCAUACUCCACACCGCGUUAUCCUCAAAGUAAUGGGCAAGCAGAGGCCACAAACAAGACCCUAAUAACUGUCCUAAAAAAGAGGCUCGAGCAAGCCAAAGGAAAGUGGGUGGAAGAGCUACCCGGUGUCCUGUGGGCUUAUCGAACCACACCCGGACGUCCAACAGGAAACGCUCCCUUCGCCCUCGCAUACGGUAUGGACGCAAUCAUUCCUACUGAAAUAGGGCUACCCACUAUCCGGACCGAGGUAGGAAGGCAAGAUGAUGCAAAUGUGGAGUUAGGCAGAAACUUGGACUAGGCAGACGAAGUAAGAGAAACUGCAUCCAUCCGGAUGGCGGAUUAUCAACAAAGGGCAUCUGCUCACUAUAAUCGCAAAGCAAGGCCCAUAAGUUUCAAAACUGGAACGCUGGUCCUUAGGAAGGUUUUGGAAAAUACUGCAAAGAUAGGAGCGAGAAAAUUUUAAGUCAAUUGGGAAGACCCCUAUAUAGUAUCUAAGACAAGUGAAAGUGGAGCCUAUCAUCUACAGAAGCUAAACGGAACCCCAUUGCUCCGACCAUGGAAUGUAUCUAAUCUAAAGCAGUAUUACCAAUGAAAGAAAAAUAGAGGUACAAAUAUGAAUAAGUAUGUUUUAUUAGAACUUGUGAAAAUUGUAUACAAAAGUUCUCUGGACUACAAAAUACAGAGAGAAGAUAGCAGUAAAAUUACAAAAAGAAAAGCUCUCAUUGGGAAGGCUUGCCGCGCAGCUUCUCCUCCUCAGCCGGGGGAAUCGAAGGGACGUCCCGCUUAAUACCAUGUUUCUUCAUACAACAAUGGUAGCCAAAGAAGUACAUUUCGUCUACCUGCUUCUGGCAGUCCGCUUCGAGUUCCUCCCUUUCCACAGCAAACUCAGCCUCCAACUCUUCUUUUUGCACUGAUAAACGCGACUGCAAAUCCUCUCUCUGCUUUUUCUCGAUUGACACAUCUGUCCGGAGUCGCCUCACUUCUCCCCUCAGCUGGGCCAUCUCGUCCUCCGCCUCAUGCAGGCGGGCGUUUGUAGAUUCCUCCCGACUCUUUGCCUCAGCUAGCUCUAUCCGGAGAGCCUCGUUGUCAUCCUAGGCAGCGGAUAAACUGGCUUCGGCCUGCUCCAAUCUCAAGCGCAGUUCCUCUUCACUGUCUUUGCGCUGGGAGACGAAGGCCUUCAUAUAAUCGGCAGUCCGCAGCAGGUCCGAAAAAAGAUCGCGUUGUUGAGCCAUGCCACGAAUACCGCUCACCAGCUACAGAAAAACCUACAAACAAGAAGUGCAAAGUUACAACCCAUGUGACAAACACAUCAAUAUGGCAGGAAAAAUCAAGAAGUAAACUAUACCAUUUCCGCCGCUUCAAACAUUUUUGCUGAAUGCACAUCAACAUUUGAGCCGGGUGGAAUCCGUUUCAGCAUCUCUCCCAACUCCGCAUAGCUGAAAGGGCUAGCGGAGAUGCAAGCCGCAUCAUCAACUAGACUUCCCCCUGACAAAACAGUAGGGUGUGACUCCUCUCUCAGGUCCGGGGCCCCAUCAUUCUCGGCCAGCUGGGUCUCUCCGGGUGAACCCUCAUCCAGGACUAGCACCGGGGAGGUUGGGUUUUCUUCUGCCAUCUCAGUCUCACUCCCCUCAUGAUGAUUCUCCUGGACGGAUGAGCAGCUGACUUCGAUGGUUUCCAGAAAACGAUCCUGAAGCCGCCCGAUGAGGCCAAACUUUAAGUCGCGGGCCGGACGAGACCUCCUUGUAGCUGGCCCCUUCACCGGUACAAAGGCAAGGGAGCUUGGCUCAUAAGGAGGCAAACCCUAACUUGCAGCCCCCGUUUCUUCCAUUGGCAGUGCCGUAGGAGGCUACGUUUCAAUACAAGAGGCCCCGGCUACAUCCGCGUCCGGAUGGGGAGAGCCGGGCUGAUUUACUGAAGUCGCUUCCUCAGCCAGAAGAGCCAGCCGUCCAGCCGCUGGCAUUGAAGGCCCCGAAUGGUUUAGACCCGCGAGACAUCCGGAGCCGCUUGAAACAGAGGGCAAGACGGAGGGAUCUGGCGUUCUUAUUGUUACUCCCUUUACAUAAGUUGGAGGUGGUAUCACCACUUCCUUUGGGGGAGUUGGAAGUUUUAUUUCUUUCCCCUUAUUGAGAACCUUCUUCUUCUUUUUCGCUGGGGCGCCAGCAGGUGGAGAGGACGCGGGACAUUUAUUACCAGGAGCCUUCCGCAAAAGUCCUUCUUGCCUUUUCUCUUCCCGUUUGUUGAGACGGGCUUUGCGUGACUGGGUGUCCGCCUUUCGCACCGCCGCGUAGAAUGGGAGAUCUUUGAGAACGAAAUGCUCACCAGCCACCACCUCUUUGGGCAGCCGCCUCGGGAGUAUGUUCAGCAUGUACGGCUGGGGCUCCUGGAUAACCAAGUGAAGAUUCUGCGCGGAGAGAAGCGUUUCACAACUCCUCUCGACCGCCGCAAUCUCAAAAAGCCUGUUCAACCGGUCGAACGUGGCUUUCUCCACCCAUUCUACCAACUUCCCCCUUUUAUCCUUGUCUGCAACCAAGAAAACAAAACAUGUCAGCCACCUAACAAUGCUGACCUAACUCGCAAACCGCAGAAAGACAGGAAGUAACUUAUUCAUACCUGAGACCUUCAAUGACUGGUUGGGAGCUAACUACCUAUCCGGAUGCACCGUCAAACCCGCCCAUAGGCCCUUGACCAGCACAUGACCCUUGGCGGCCCCCUUGGUCGAGUCCGAAAGGCUGGUCACCAACUGAAGGGAUGGAAGGCUAGCGACAAAGCUGAAGAUGUCAUUUUUCACCUUCUUAAUCGAAUAGAUGAAGAGAACCUCCAGCAGUGAGAGGUCCAGAUUGAACAACAUGCUCAGAAUGCUGCACCCCAUCAGCACCCGGACCAUGUUGGGAUGGAUGUAAGCUGGAGGAAUCUGAGUGAAGUGAAGGAAUUCCUUGAACAAUGACGGGAGGGGGAACCGGAGCCCAGCAUUGAAUUGCUCAUUGGAAAAGAAGAUAGCGUUGUCUUCAAUUUUCUCAGUCGACACGGCCUCUCCGUCCGUAAGUUCAAUGAACAAGCCAUUCGGGAUGCAGAAGCGUUCGCGAAACUCCCUCACAUUCAACUUAUCCACGGAUUUCUCAGCAUGAGCAUCUCCGGACGAGCUAGAUGAAGUAGCUUCCUAGUUCGCAGACAUUUUUUAGGCUGGGGCUGAAAUGGAAUUUGCAUGGAGGAAUGCCAACAGUCAAACACAGCAAUCCGACCCCACAACCCUAACGACAAAAACGCUCAGAAAGCCUAAACAACACCAGCAUCCCCAUCUCAAACCUUAACUCUACCGCAAAGAAGAAUCGAUGGCCUACAAAAGGCACAGGGGUGUUGAGGCCUCGCGUCCCUAGUGAUCCACGUAGUUGCCAAAUGGAUGGACGCACGAUCUCAACCAAUAUAGAGUCCUGGUUCAGUCGUUCCUGCAAAAGGCGUCCGGACAGGGUGUCCAGACACACUCUCCGAUGGUUUUGUCAGCCAUGGUUAGAGAGAAUAAUCAAUUGGCUUUUUACUAAGUAUCGCAAGCUUACCUUCCUCCUUGUGUGAAGGUCCAUAUAUAUAGUAUCAGAAGCUUUGUCUCCCUCUUUAAUGAUAGGAAGAUAUUUUGGCUUGUCAUGAUGCCUCUAGGUGGUGGCAGGGCCAUCAUCACCCUACGGGCGGCUGACAGAGAUCGUGGGAGGCGCCGCAGCUGUCAGAGAUCGUGGGAGGCGCCGCAGUUGUCAGAGAUCGUGGGAAAUGACUUGCCAUCAUUCCUGUCUUUUCACUCUGCAGGUGGCGGAACGUGGGCCGUGGCAGGCUGUUGGAAUGAUGUAGUAAGACUUGCUUACUUUAGUAAAUGAUUCAGACAAACAUAUCCGGAUAGGCUAUGUCGGUCAUCCGGAUGUGAUAUGGCGGUCGUCCGGAUGUGAUGUUUACGAGUGUCGUGUGCUUCUCCUAAGGGAGUCCGGAUAGGAGAAGUGCGCCACGUGUCUUCUUAGGGAAAUCCGGAUGGGGCUAAUCCGGAUAGAAAUGUGUGCCACGUGUCAUCAGGGGGAGGGGUCCCUACAAGGGGGGCAACAGAAACCCUAAACACACCCAAAACACGAUCAAAACCCCCCGAAAAAAGCCCUAGAAACCAAUACCGACUCCCAAUCGCAAAGAAACUUGCCCAGCAAGCCAGAAACAACCAACAAAGCAAACACAAACGAGGAAAAGACAGAGAUAGAGAAUGUACCGAGUGUAAACUGGCGAAUGGAGAUGAAAAUCCACAGUGCAGUCACUGUCACGGCACGGGUAUUGCUAGCAGAAACCCUAGAAACUCACUCACAAAUGAAGAAAAACGCAGAAGGCUGAAGAGAAAGCACUACCAGUAGAAAAAUGCAGAAGAAAAAAUGCAACAAUAAAGGGCUCAGUCCGCUAUUUAUAGUGAGACAAACCCUCGGUAUCCCAAACGCUGAGCCGUGCCAUCAUUUUAAAAGACACACUGCCUGGGAAAUCCCAGAGACGGCGGCUCAUCAUAAAUGCUCUUCUUCCUUUUCGCCCCCGCUCGCCACAUGACCCAAUGAGCGCAAAAAGUAACCUCAGUUUCAAAAACAAUUAUUUUUAACCCGCCCAUUCUGCCCAGGCAAAAUCGACAAGUUAAAAGGGGGGCAUUGUAGGGACCCCUCCCCCUGAUGACACGUGGCACACAUUUCUAUCUGAAUUAGCCCCAUCCGGAUUUCCCCAAGAUGACUCGUGGCGCGCUUCUCCUAUCCGGACUCCCUCAGGAGAGGCACACGACACUCGUAAACAUCACAUCCGGACGACCGCCAUAUCACAUCCGGACGACUGACAUAGCCUAUCCGGAUAUGUUUGUCCGGAUCAUUGACUAAAGUAAGCAAGUCUUGCUACGUCAUUCCGACAGCCUGCCACGGCCCACGUUCCGCCAUCUACAGAGUGAAAAGACAAGAAUGAUGGCAAGUCACUUCCCACGAUCUUUGACAGCUGCGGCGCCUCCCACGAUCUCUGUUAGCCGCCCGUAGGGUGAUGAUGGCCCUGCCACCACCUAGAGGCAUCAUGACAAGCCAAAAUAUCUCCCUAUCAUUAAAGAGGGAGACAGAGCUUCUGAUACUAUAUAUAUGGACAUUCACACAAGAAGGAAGGUAAGCUUGCGAUACCUAGUAAAAAGCCAACUGAUUAUUCUCUCUAACCAUGGCUGACAAAACCAUCGGAGGGUGUGUCCGGACACCCUGUCCAGACGCCUUUUGCAGGAACGACUGAACCAGGACUCUAUAUUGGUUGAGAUCGUGCGUCCAUCCAUUUGGCAACUAUGUGGAUCACCAGGGACGCGAGGCCUCAACAGACACUAGAGAUGGAAAACCCUCGUCUCAGAAAUGCAAGGAAAGGGAAGAACGUGAAGAAUUUGAAGACCUUCACACUUGGAUCAACCCUUGUUUUCUUCUUUUCUCCUCACCUUUCACUCUCAACCGUCUGCCCACACAUAUGCUUCCACAGAGCCCUAGCUGCUGCAUUAUUGGCCUUAGAAACCAGCCGCCAGACCAGCCCAACAUGUGGGUUUGAAAAAAAUACUUUCCUGAGCUGGAACCCAUAUAUGGGCAAGCCCAACAAAGUCCAUCUCUGAUUUAUGAAUUUAUUUUAUUACCUCAAAGCUAUAGGUUUGUGGGUCUGGCCCACACUUAUUGUGGUGUAAUCUCCUAUGUGGUUAAUUUGUCUUUAUAGUGUCUUCUAUGGCUCUCCAUUGCACAUGGAACCAUAUUUAAGAAUUUCAUUUAGUUGGCUGCGUUUCAUCUCAUAGUUUUAUAUGACUGUUGUGAGUAAGCUUUUCAGGCAGUGUCCUGGAAAACUAAUAGAAUUUGGAGGAUUGUCUAAUUGAUCCUAAAGAAUUUUAGCUGAGUACAAAUGAAAUGUGGAAUUUCCAUUAUUCUAAGUUUUAAACUUAUAUUUCACUUAACAACUUUUUUUUUUCCUGCAUUACCACCUCAUAUUGGAUUGUAGCCAUCUUUUCUGUCAGUUUUUUCUUCUUUUCUAGUGUUGCUGAUGCAUUAAGAUAUAUAUCUUUUGUUUUAUAUGAUGAGGAAGUUAUCAUCACGUUUUUCCUUCGUCUUUUUUACAUACAAACUCUUAUGUAGCUUGAAUCUCUUGUCUUUUGUUGUCACAUCCCAAAACCCACUUCAAGGGCAUGACAGUCAUUUCACACCUCAAGCCCAAAGGCUCAAAGUGGAAACGAUACAAACAUUCAUAUUAUAACUGAAAAUUUACCAAUUACCAAAUUCCUAUUCAGAGUAGUAUGACAAAAUUCUAAAAUCUCUCCAAGUAUCAACUUUAAAAAAACUAACACAUCAACUAGAGUGUUAUUGUCCAUAUAACUCCAAAUUCAAAUAAUUUAAAUCGGAAUUAAAUUUUAACAUCUAAACAAUGUCCAAAAAUAAAGUUUGAACCAAAAUCCUAACAAAGAAAAAUUCCCAAGCCUAACCAUCACUCCUCGCCCGAACUGAGAGUACCUGAAAAAUUAUCAACGAAGGGGCAUGAGCUCAAUAAGGAACAUCAAUGUAGUUUCAUGGAUCAAAUAUUUUCAAUCAUGUUUGCAAAUAGGAGAUAUAACAUAUACUUAUUUUCAUAAAAAACUUUUGAGUUCGAAAUACUAAUAUAUUCAAACUUUUCAACAAACUUUCUCAUAUCUUUUUCAAAACAAUUUCUCAUCAAAACCAAAUCAAAUGCAUUCAAAAUAUCUUUACUCUGGUUAUCAAAUAACAAAUGGUGUCCAAUUAGGAGAGACUUCACAAAUGAGUGGCUAGUUUCAAAUUUGUUCUAGUUGAGGUGAACAAAACCAAAAGUCAACAAUUGUAACCCGUUGACUAGGAGUCAUAAGGUCAACUAUUAUAACUCGUUGACUAGAGCCACAAGGUCAACUAUUAUAACCCGUUGACCAUAUAAUAUCAACUAUUAUAACCCGUUGAUUAGGGCCAUAAAAUGUCAACAACCCAUUGACUAGGGCCAUAGGAACUAGAGUCAAACACUUUAUUUCAUUAAUUCAAACUUACAAAACAAAAUAUCAUAUCUCCAAAAAUUUUCACUUUUCAUAAAUAAACAAGGAAGAUUUUCAAAUAUACUUUCCAUACAAAACACAUAUUUGAUCCAUGCAAAAAGAUAAAAAUAAUAUUUUUACACUUUUAAAAAUACAAUAUAAAAAGGAAAUUAUUUUCUUUUGUAAACAUCUGCAUUAAUUUCCCUUACCUUGAAGAAACACUCAAAAUCUUGAAGUAUUUAACUCUAAAGAAUUUCCUCUUCACCUAACAUAAUAUCAUACACAAUAUUGAUUAUUGAUUAUUGAUUAUUUAUCCAAACAUAUAAAUUUGAAAAUCCUAAAAAUAUUUUAUUUAGUAUUAGGGAUCCUAAUUAAUUUCUCAUAUUAAUAUUAUUACCAUCCAAUAUUAUUUUCAACUUCCUAAACAAUAAUUUAUUUCCUUUUUUUCUAACUUAUCUAGCAUAAAUCUUUUAAGAAUAUUUAUUUGCAUUAAACUAUUAUUACUAUUAUUUAAAUCUCCUACCGAAACUUAACAAAUACCCCAUGCAAUCCUUUUUUCUUUUUUUUUUCAACAUGUCAAAUCCUUUCUACGCUUCUUUCAUCAUUUUUUUUUCUCUGAAGUCAAAACUUUUAACCUCUAUACUCACAAUUUUAUAUAAUUUUCACAUCCAAAACUAUAUAAUUUUUUUAAAAUUUAAUUUAAUUUUUUAUCUAAAUCUAUUCAUUUGAGUAAUCAAAAUUUAUUGAUCUCCAUUAAUAAAUCAAACUAUGUUCAUAAAUUUUUAAUCUUUGUGACCUAGAAAUUAAUUAAAUGAACUCUAAUCAAAAUUAAGAUAUUCUAAAGAAUAUCUAAAGUGUUUAAAACUAAUUAACGAAUAUAAAAUAUUAAUUUAAAGAUUAAAAAUCUUACCUGAAAAAUUGAUCUUCAAACCCUAAACCUUCAAACCUUCAACCCUAUGCUCUCUGAUCUUUCUGAUCUUUGUGUAAAAGAGUUUUCUGAAUAGAGAAUAUAGGAAAGAUAUAAUUUAUAUAUAGGGGUUUUAAAUACGAAAAAACCUUUUUACCCUUAUUAAAUUACUUUAAUUAAUUAAUAAUUUCUAAAUUACAAUUUUACCCCUAAAUUGGGUUUGGGGCAUUACAUUUGCAUCAUCAGUAUUUGUCUUUUUCUGUUAUAAACAAGCCUAUAUUGAUGUUGAGCCCUCCCUUCUACUUUAUUUAUGUAUUUCAUACAUUAUCUAGAAGCUAAAGUUUGUGGCUCAUAUCAUUUGUCACUUAUCUUGGUAUUUUGUCUUUAUAAAGUGUCUUAUGUGGCUCUCCAUUACAAAGGGUUAUGAAAAAGAUGUGGUUGUAAGGGCAUUCUCUUCUUUAGGUGGUAACUUUUGUUGAAAUCCAAAAAAAAUUCAAAGAGAAAAAGAGAAAAAAAAAAAAAAAGGGUUUCUUAUUAUGAAUUCUCUUGAAAAUACGUGCAACACUAUUACAAUUUAAAUAGACCUAAUAAAAGAAAAUAAAGACUAUUUUACCCUUACUUCUAAAAAUAUAGAAAAUAAUUCUAACAUUGUAACUAAAUAAACAACAAAUUAUUUUUUUGCCCUUCAGAAAAAUUUCCAUCACAUAACUCCAAAACAAAUAAUUUUAUUUUUUUGUAUCCAAUUUCCUACUUUUAGAUUAAAGGAAUCAUUUCAUUCACUAGGGAUGAUGAAUAAAUAACAAAUAACUAUCAAAAAAAAAAAAAAAAACAUAUAUGAAUCAAAGAAAAUGAAUACGAAAUCGAAUACUAUGAUCAAAUAGGAAAAGAAUUAUGUCAUUUAUCUUGGUAUUUUGUCUUUAUAAAAUGUCUUGUGUGGCUCUCCAUUGUCACUUAUCUUGGUAUUUUGUCUUUCUAAAGUGUCUUCUAUGGCUCUCCAUUGCCACUUAUCAAAAGUCUAAUUAAAAGAUAAUUUUUACUCUAAUACCAAGUUGAAAUCCAAAAAACGAUUUAAAGAUAAAAAGAUCGAGAAAAAACAAAAUUUAGGAUUUCUUUUAAAAAUAACUCCAACAUCAUUAGAAUUUAAAUAAACAUAAUAAAAGAACAUAAAAACUAUUUUAAUGUUGUAGAAAGAAAGAAAAUAAUUCUAAUAUAGUAACUAAAUAUAUAAUAACUAAAUAAUACAUAAUUCUAAUAUACUAACUAAAUAUAUCUAACACCUUUUAAGAUUGGAUACCGUAGAUGGGCCCUUUUAAAUAAUAUUUCUUUGAUGUGAGAAUGGGUUUGAUAUUUUAGUAAAAUAUAGUAAAAUAAUAUUUCUUUUAUUAUAUAAAACAUAAAAGAUAGGAUAUAUAUAUACAUAGAAAAUACGAACAUAUGUAAACAAGUUACGCCUCACACAUUUCUCAACUCCAUAUAUAGUAGUAUUUCUCAAGCAUAUAAUAACAAAGGAUGAAAAUGAAGUAGUUGAGAAUUGUAUGAGAAAUAGGUUCUAGUUACAUUGGGGUUCUUCUUGUACUAGGAGUUGUAGAGACAAGCAAAUUAAACUCCUCGUCAAAAAUAAAAAGAAGUAGAACUAGUUUACGUAUCACACUUGAAAUGAAAAUGCAUGGAAGAGAAAAGCCACACCUUCCUAGAAUCUAGCUACAUGUCCCAAUAGUGUUAGGAUUCCAUAUGAGUUAGAAGUAUAAAUUUUGUGAGCUAGCUCACUUUAUAUAUCCCCAUCAUCAUUAAUUUUUCUCAUGCAGGAAAGCCCAUUUCAAUUUUCUAUGGCUGGUGAAGAAAUAAGUGUCCCAAAGCUACCAGUAGGAUUCAUAUUUCUACCCACGGAUGAGGAGUUGGUGACCUAUUAUUUGAUCAACAGGGUGUAUUACAGGCCUCUUCCAGCCAAACCCAUUCAAGACAUUCCUGCAAGUGAAUUUUACGGCAGUCCUUCUCAUCAUCUAGGUACUUUGAUUUAUGAGCAUGAUAUACAUAUUAAAUCCAAAUCAUGUAAAAUUAUGUUUUUAGGAAAACUGGUAGUUCAACAUGGUAUCAAAGUUAGGAAAGAAGGCUCAAACUUGGGUUUUCUCCAAAAGUGGUUGAAUGUCGUAAAAGUUCGACCUACCCACUCUUCAAAUUGAUAAAUGGUAGUUUUUUCCAUUCAUACUUUCAUUCGUUCAUGUACAAGAGAAUAUAUAGAGGGUAAUCACCAUUUUAAGAAUGGGAAGGAAUGAUACAAGGAAAGAAUGAUAUAAGGAAAUAACAACUAAUAUCCUAAUAUCUCAAUAUUCCUAAUAUCUCAAUAUUCCUAAUAUCUCAAUAUUCUUAAUAUCUCAACUUUCCUAAUAUUUAAACAUUCCUAAUAUCUCAACACUAAAUAAUAUAAGGAAAUAAUGAUAUACGGAAAUCAUUCCUAAUAUCUCAACACUCCCCCUCAAGUUGGUGCAUAGAUGUCACACAUGCCCAACUUGUCUAAAAAUUUUGAGAACACUUGACUUGAGACAGCUUUGGUGAGGAUAUCGGCCAAUUGAUCUUCUGAUCGAAUCUUAGGCAAUUCCACAAUCUUGUCAUCCAAUUUUUCCUUAAUGAAGAAUCUAUCCACCUCGACAUGCUUUGUACGAUCAUGUUGUACUGGAUUAUGAGCAAUGUCACAUGCGGCUUUAUUGUCACAAAACAAUUGGAUUGGUUGCCUAGAUAGGUAACCUAAAUCCUGUAAGAGAAGUCUUAGCCAUAAUGCCUCACAAAGUCCUAGAGCCAUACCUCUAAAUUCUGCUUCUGUACUUGAACGAGCGAUGACAUUCUGCUUCUUACUUUUCCAUGUCACAAGAUUACCACCUACAAAGGUAAAGUAACCAGAUGUAGAUCGCCUAUCAUCCACUGCACCGACCCAAUCAAUAUCAAUAUAUACUUCUAUACUCUGAUGAUUAACAUUUUUAGUGAACAAAAUUCCCUUCCCAGGAGCAUUCUUCAAAUACCUCAAAAUACGCAUAACUGCAUUCAUAUGUUGCUCUCCAGGAUUAUGCAUGUAUUGACUCACUACACUCAAUGCAUAAGCAAGAUCUGGUCUUGUAUGAGCUAAGUACAUUAAUCUCCCCACAAGUCUCUGGUAUCUUCCCUUAUCAGUUGAUACUUGAUUAGGCUCAACACACAAUUUCAGACCUUCUUCUAUUGGUGUAUUAACAGGUUGACAUCCUGACAUUCCAGUCUCUUGUAAAAGAUCUAAGGCAUACUUUCUUUGAGACAGAAAAAUUCCUUCACUUGAUCGAGAAACUUCAAUCCCAAGAAAGUAUUUCAGAGGACCUAGAUCUUUCAUUUCGAAUUCUCUAGAUAGAUAAUUUUGCAGAGCUUUUCUUUCUUCAGGAUCAUUUUCUGUAACUACCAUGUCAUCCACAUAUACGAUGAGUGUGGUAAUCUUACCAUGUUGCUUUUUCAGGAACAAAGUAUGAUCUGAAUUACUUUGACGAUAGCCAAAAGCUCUUAUUGACUUUGUGAACCUUCCAAACCAUGCUCUCAGGGAUUGCUUCAACCCAUACAAUGACUUCUUCAAUUUGCACACUUUCUGACAUUGCUUUUUUGACACCAUGCAUCCUAGUGGAAUAUCCAUAUAUACUUCUUCAGAUAACUCGCCAUGCAGAAAGGCAUUUUUCACAUCGAACUGUUGUAAUGGCCAAUCUAGGUUUGCAGCUAAAGACAGUAAUACUCGAACUGUGUUGAUCUUAGCUACAGGUGCAAAUGUCUCUGUGUAGUCAAUUCCAUAAGUUUGAGUGUACCCUUUUGCUACCAGUCUUGCUUUAAAUUGUUCAAUACUACCAUUUACCUUGUACUUCACAGUAUAGAUCCAACGACACCCAACUGGCUUCUUUCCUGGUGGACAUUCUACGAGUUCCCAUGUUUCAUUCUUCUGCAAUGAUUUCAUCUUUUCAUUCAUGGCUGCUUUCCACCUUGGAUCAGCUAAGGCUUCUUGCACACUGUUAGGAAUAGCUACAGUAGAUAAUUGAUUUACAAAUGACUUAUUUGAUUCAGACAAACGAUGGUUAGACACAUAGUUGCUCAUGGGAUAUUUGACUUUGGUAGACAAUUCAGGUUUAUUUGUGGGUUUAGGAAUACCUCUAUUAUGACGGUGUGGUAACCGUUUCAUGAAUGGAUCAGGUUCCAAAUUAAGAACACCUUCAACAGACGACGAUUGGUUUGGUAUUUCAGUGAAGACAUCUUCGGACCCAAAUUGUUGACCACUCAUAUCCAACUCACCCGCUUCUUGGUUCACUAGUUCAGAUUGUCCAGAUUCAUUCUCCUUAGAGAUAUGAUAAUCAUAAUCGAGAGUCUGAAUUUCCUUAUGGUACUCCCCCUGAAGUUCAGACUCAGAUGAAAAAUACAUCGAAUCUUCAUGAAACACCACAUCCAUUGUAAUAUACAUUUGUCGAGUUGGAGGAUGGUAACAUCGAUAUCCCUUUUUAUGCAAUGCAUAUCCAACAAACACACAUUGCAAUGCAUGGGAAGUUAAUUUGGUGCGUUGGUGUUUGUGUAGAUGCACAAAUGCCACACAACCAAAAACAUGAGGAGGUAGAUUUGGGAAAGUUGGGGCAACUACGGCAUUAGUAAGAGCUUGGAGAGGUGUUUGGAAGUUAAUUGAGCUGGAAGGUACCCAAUUGAUCAAGUAUGCGGCAGAUGUGAUUGCUUCUCCCCAAUAAGAUAUCGGUGUUUUUGCUGCUAUCAAGAAAACACGAACAACCUCUAACAAGUGCCGAUUUUUCCGUUCAGCGACUCCAUUUUGCUGGGGUGUAUUGGAACAAGUAGUCUGAUGAAUGAUGCCAUGUCCUUCCAAAUACUUUUGAAGAUCAGAACUUUGAUAUUCUUCACCAUUAUCACUACGCAGAACCCGAACCUUUGCAUUGUACUGAGUUUCAAUCAUUUUAUGAAAUUUUUGAAACAACAAGUUCACUUCAUCUUUGGUCUUCAUCAAGCAUAACCAUGUCAUUUUGGUACAAUCAUCAAUAAAAGUAACAAACCAAUGUGAGCCACUCAAAGUUGGGACUUUGGAUGGACCCCAAACAUCAGAAUGUAUAACCAUAAAAGGAAACGGACUUUUGUUCAAAAUUAACGGAAACGAAACACGAUGGCUUUUAGCCAAUUCACAAAUAUCACAACGGAAACCAGAAAUAUCACUCUUUGCAAACAAACUAGGAAACAAUUUUUUUAAAUAACCAAAGGAAGCAUGUCCCAGACGUCGAUGCCACAACCAAAUUUCAGACUUUUUCUUCUCCCCCUCAGAUCCAUCUGCCAUCAAGGCUUGUUGCAACUUAUUUGAAUCCUUUGACUGCAAGUCCAAGUAAUAGAGUUUUCCCCGCUUAAUACCACAACCAAUCGUCUGUCUUGUUUGGAUGUCCUUAAUCACACAAAAUUCAGGCCAAAAAAUGACAAUACAAGAUAAGGCUGCGGUGAUUUGAGAAAUUGACAAAAGAUUGUAAUCUAAAGAUGGAACAACUAAGACAGAAUCCAAAUUCAAAGUAUCAGUAAGAGUUAAGGAUCCUUCCCCAAUGACUGGGGUUGUGUUACCAUUGGCUGUGGAAACAAUUUUUUGUGAGGAAGGUCUAAGGGGUGAAACCUGUCUAGAAUCAAAAGUCAUAUGAUCUGUAGCACCAGAAUCAAUUAUCCAUGCACUAUUAAUAACAGGUGUAAAAGUAUUUAAAAACUUACCACCAUGAUCUGUAGCGGCUACCAAUGCAGAGGCUUUCUCAGCAACAUUAACCUCUGUUUUUAUUUCGGCAACAGUUGCAAUCGAGGUUUUCUUGGAAUCCUUCUUCCGUUGAUCACGAUUAUUAUCAUUAAUAAACAAAGUGUUGAUAGCCCUAACAUGAUCUAAAGGUCCAUNNNNNNNNNNNNNNNNNNNNNNNNNNNNNNNNNNNNNNNNNNNNNNNNNNNNNNNNNNNNNNNNNNNNNNNNNNNNNNNNNNNNNNNNNNNNNNNNNNNNAAAGGUCCAUGGUCAAACCCUCGGUUCCUCAUUGUUUUCCUGGUCAUACCAAGAGUCGUUGCUUUGAAAUUAUGGGAUAUCCAGAUUGGUGGGAUCAAUCGUAUUGCAGUGAGUGCAUUUGAAGGUUGACUUAUCAACAUUAGGGCUUGUCUUAGGAUGGAUGAUCACUGUCGGACUACCAUAGCGACAAAAUAUUCAGGAUUUCAGUUUCAUGGCUCUGAUACCAUCUUCAAAUUGAUAAAUGGUAGUUUUUUCCAUUCAUACUUUCAUUCGUUCAUGUACAAGAGAAUAUAUAGAGGGUAAUCACCAUUCUAAGAAUGGGAAGGAAUGAUACAAGGAAAGAAUGAUAUAAGGAAAUAACAACUAAUAUCCUAAUAUUUCAAUAUUCCUAAUAUCUCAAUAUUCCUAAUAUCUCAAUAUUCUUAAUAUCUCAACUUUCCUAAUAUUUAAACAUUCCUAAUAUCUCAACACUAAAUAAUAUAAGGAAAGAAUGAUAUACGGAAAGCAUUCCUAAUAUCUCAACACCCACACAAACCAUGUUUUCCAAUGCUGUUCUUUUCCUUGACGAUACAAUAAGUGGGAUGGUAAAAAAGUUUAUUGGAUGUUUGGCUUAACUGCUUUUCAACUUCUUUAUUUGAUUCAUAACAGCAAUCUCAUCAAGCAGAGAAAGGGAGUAUUUUUUCUUUAUUCAAGGAGAUGAUCAAGGAGAGGAAAUUCGAAUGGUUGAAGAUGGAAGAGGGUUCUGGAAAUUGAGUGGAGAUGAGACUCCGAUCUAUGAUUCAGAUGGGAACAUCUUUGCCUUCAAGAUUUAUUGGACGUAUUUAUCAGGAUCGCUUCAGAAACCCAAGAAAACACAUUGGAGAAUGGAAGAAUAUCGACUUCCCCUUCAUUGUUACAUGGACCAUGAUUUCAAGGUGGGUGAAGAAAAUAAAAAGGAAUGACCAACAUAUGCAAUCUCGUUAUUUUUAUUGGUUUUCAUAAAUAUAAAAAUUUCAAUAUCAAAGAGAGUUUCCUCUUUUAUUUUUUUUAAAAUAAAAUGUGAAAGCAUUUUUAGAAAAUAAAAAUUUAAAAAUAUUUUCCAAAUUAAACACAAUUUAUUAUUAUUUUUUUUCAUUUUUCAUUUUUGUAUUCUUGUUUUUUGCAGGGAGAAAAAUUGGUAUUGGGAAGAAUCAAACGAAGCAAAGAUUAUAUUUCUUGGUUGUAAUUAUUAGGGAACAUGAUAUGUAUAUUGAAUUCAAAUUCUGUAGGCUUAAGUUUUUAGGAAAAUUAGUAGUUCAACGUGGUAUGAGAGCUAGGGAACAUGAUAUGUAUAUUGAAUUCAAAUUCUGUAAGCUUAAGCUUUUAGGAAAAUUAGUAGUUCAACGUGGUAUGAGAGCUUGAUUUAGUGAAAAGUCUUGUAUUCGAGCUGUCUCUUUAGAAUUCACAUUUUCCCAUAUGAAUCUAAAUUACCAAAAUCAUGUAAACUUAAACUUAUAUAGGAAAAUGAGUAGUUCAACAACAAAGUUUAUUUUAUUUUUUAGAAAAAUUGGUAGUUUAAUAUUAAAGUUUAUUUUAUUUUAUUUUUAUGUUAUUCUUUUGAUAAUGGGAUUUAAUUUAUUUAAGAUUAAAUUUAUGUUUGCAAAGUUGAAAUUAUUUAGUAAUUUAUGCACAACACUUAUUCUUCUAUUUUCUUGAUUCUUGAUCGAUUAUUUUCAUGUUGAAAUAACAUGUUGUAAAUUUUUUGAAAAAAUAUCAAUUAAAAAAAUGGUUAAUUUCGAGGACAUUGAAUUAAUUUUUAUAAUAAAAUUUAAAAUGAUUUCCUAUAAAUUUUAAAUUAGUUUUAUUAAAUAAAUGUUAAAAUUAAAAAAAAAAUGUUUAUUUUUUAUCUUGAAUUUUAACCUCAAUCUUCUCUAGUUUGAAAAUCAUUUUAUAGUAAAGACAACAAAAAGCAUAAAAAAUAAAUAAAUUUCUUAUUUUAAAAAAAUAAAUGAUUAAAUUAAAUUUCAAAUUAAUUUAAUAUAAAAUAGUAAUUGUUUUUACGCUUGAAAGUUUUUAUUUCACUUAAUUAUAAAUAAUAAAAAUGAGAGUAUUCUUUAAUCUAGAAAAGGAUAGAAAAUUUAUCCUUCUAAUGAGAUGAUAGUGUAAUGAUUAUAUUAUUUUAAAUUAUACAUAUACAUCACUUAAGAAAUUAAACAAAAUAUAUCAUUUUGAUAGUAAAUAGAAAUAAAUUUAAGAAAAAAAUUAUUUUCUAAUAAUUUUAAAUUUUAUCUUAAAAUAAAUUAAAAGAAUUCAAUUUUUCUAUUCACCUUUUAUAAGAAAUUAAAAUUUUAGUUUUCCAUAUUUCAUAUAUUUUUUUUAAAUGAAAAGAACCUUUACAAAUAAAUUGAUAAAUAAAAAAAUUAAUUUUAAGUCAAUGGAUGAUAAUUUUUUUUCCUUCAUUUUUUAAGUUUAUUUUCAUAAAAUCACAUGACUUAAUUGAUAUUCUUAAACUUGACUAAAAAUUUAACACUUGGUUUUUAAUUUCCUAUAGAUUAAAAAUACAAAUAUAAAUAGAAAUUUUUUUAAGUGAACUGAAAUCAAUAAUUUAUUUAUUUUCAUUCAAUUUUUAAUUAUAGUAAAGAUAAAGUAAUUAUAUUGGAAAUUAAUAAGUGCAUAAAUUUAUAAAUAUUUUCAAAUUUGUGGAUAUAAAUUUUAUUUUUCCAUGUUAUUAAAUCUAUCUAUUUAUGUUAUAUUCUCUCUACAAAAGAUUUUCUUCACUCUCGAUUAUUUGACAUUUUAAAAAAUUUAAUUAAAUAAAAAUCAUUUUGAAAUUUCUAGAAAUUUAAUUAAAUAAAUAUCUAUUUCAUAUAUUGCUUUUGCAAUUGAUAUUGAGACAUGAAUUUUAGCCUUUAAGAAACUUUCCCAAACAAAGCGUUAAGUUCAUUAAAGCAUCAAAAAAUUAACGCUUGGCAUGGAAUAAGCACUUUUCGGUACUACCAUACUGAAUAUUUUCCAGGGUCUUUGCUUUGGAAAUGGCUUUAAUCAAUCCUUGAAAGUUGGAUCACAUAAUAUCUUGUGUCAAAUCCAGCGCUCCUCAACAAUCUUCAUUUUGAAAACAAUCACAUUUUCACAAUGAAACUCUAUGGAAAAAUUUCUUUUCUAGCUCCUUUAUUAUGAUUUUUGCAGUAACAAACUUUUUUUUUGCUCUUUCUCUUUGUCAGUGAGUUAGACCAUAAAGUUUCGAUUCAUAAUUUUGUUCCAAACAUUAUAUGAUCCACAUGAUGCAUUUUUUGAGACUAAUUUUGAUACAACUUUUAAUGCUAGUAUUCAUCCAAACAAACUCAUUCAUAUUUACUUGAACGAUCUUAAAUAUGAUCCUCAAACUAAAAAACCAAAUUUGCAUAAUAGCAGGUGCUUAACACCUCUGGUGAGUGCUUAACACCCCUGGGGAGUGCUCAAGUGUUCAAGACUAAUUUUAUAUUUUUUUGUCAUUUUUAUUUUUUUUAUUUUUAUUUUGUUAUCGAUUUGGCUUGCUAGAGUUCAAAUACACCCUUUUUUUUUUUCAAUAAUUUUUGAAUGUUUUAAAUAUGCUCUAGAACAAUAUUGUCCUUAUUCCCAUUGAGGCUCCAAGAACCUCAUUCUUGAUAUAGAUUUGUUGGUGGUGGUGGUUGACUACAUCCCAUUGAGGCUUUAAGGAGUUCACAAUGGAGCACACUGUGUUGUGUUGGCUCCAAGAACCUCAUUCUUGAACCUCAUUCCAAGAACCUCAUUUCCCAAAGAGAGGAUGGCCGGGCUGCCCCCACUUUCAGUCCCCAUUUUCCCCCCAUUUUUUCUUCUUCAGUUUUUCUAACAGAGACACGGCAGCCCAGCCCCGAAUUUUUUUCUCUCUUUUCCCCCUCUCUGCAACUCCACUUCGAUUCAGAGCAGCGCCCAGGGAUUCACUUCUUUUUUAUUUUUUAUUUUUCAUCAUUCCAUUCACUCCACUACACCUCACCGGCCGAACACCCCUUCAUUUCUUUCCCAUUUUUUUUUUCCUUUCAUUCUCCAUUUUUUUUCCUUAUUUUCUUUAUUAUUAUUAUUAUUUUCAAAAACUCAACCCCUCACCGCCGUCGGGACACCGAUCAGUCGCCACCGGCGAGCCACUGCCGGUCGGUGAUCCCCUUCCCAUCUCACCCUUUCCAUUACUAUUAUUAUUAUUAUUAUUAUUAUAUUAUUAUUAUUAUUAUUAUUAUUAUUAUUAUUAUUAUUAUUAUUCAUUUUUCUCGAUUUGAUUAUAAUAGUAAUUGUUGUUUAUGAUACUUGAAUUGUUGAAUUAAUACAAAAUUUGAGUUAAUUUGUUGGUGGUGAAUUAAUAUGAAACUUGGGCUAUUUUUGUUUUUGCAUGGACUCGUUCUGCGAACUUGUUGGCUGAGUAUAAAUUUAUGACACGUGAAGCACGGAAUUUCAUGGAACAAAGUGAGACUCGAAAAGCUGUAAAUGGAGCAUUAAACUUAUUGUAAGCCUAUUGGGGUACAUAUUUGAUUUCUCAUUUAUAUUCAGUUUUAUUUUUAUUGAUUUCUGUAAAUAUUUAUCUAUGUAUAUUUACUUGUGUGUACAGAAUUGAAUAUUGAACAAACUAGAAAUUUUGUUUAAAUGAGAGGAAGAAUUCAGUAAAUGUGUUUUGAUGAAACAAUAAUUUUAAAAUAUUAUUUUUAAUAAAAGAAAGUUUUUUUUUAUUAUUUAUAAAAAUUCAGAAAAAUGCAUUUAGAAAAAUCCAAAAAAUUGUUUUUAAUAGAAUUUGAAAUUUUUUUUAAUGACAUUGUCCAAAAAUUUUUUUGUUUAAUAAAAAUUGUCCAAAAAUUGUUUUGUAAAUAAAGUUGUCCCAAAAAUUAAUUUUUAAUAAAAUUGUCUAAAAAUAUUUUUUCAAAUGAAUUCUUUUUCUUUAAUUAAAAUGGGAUUAAAAGUGUUUUUCAGAUAUAGAAGAUUUAAAUAUUUGUUUUUCUUUUUAAUUAAAAUUUCUUUUGCAAAUAAAGUUAUAUCAUUUUAAAUAAUUUGUAAAAAUCACUCUUUUAAAUGAAAAUAAAUCUAAAUACUUUUGUAAAUAAAAUUGUAAAAAUUCAUUAUUUUCUAGUAAAAGUAACUAAAAAUAAUUUUUGUGCCCAAAUUGAAAUUUUGUAAUAAAUUCUUUUGAUACUAAGUGUAAAUAACUUUUUUUGAAAAUUGAAUAUAAACGAAGUUGAGAAAAUAAAUUGAUUCUUUUUUUGUAAGAAAAUAAUUUAAAAUCAUUAAUUUAAAAUCAUUUUUAAUAAAAUCCUUUGAAAUUUCUUUAAAACUUUUUAAAAUAUCUUUUAUUUAUUUAAUUCAAUAAAUCAUUCUGUAUAAUUCUCUCAUUAUUUAUUUUGUGUAUUUUCGUAAUUAGAUUUCAUCAUUAUUUGUGUAUAUUGCUUUUCACUAUGACUUGUACAUGCUCAUUUGCUUGAUUAUUAAUUUUGGUAUCCAUGAUUAAUUAGUUAAUUGUCACCAUUACUUCAUUUUAUUAGUAGAGACCCGAUUUUAGGGAUUUAGAGGGGUGUUGCGGUCUUUACUGUACCUUCCCGAUAAGUAACCUGACCCCCGAACUUGAUCCGGUUUUUCACAGAUCACCUUUUCCAAAAUAAAGAGUCACACUUAGGGUUUUUAUUUCUUAUUUUGUUUUCCCUUUAAAAAAAUUAAAAUAAGUGACGACUCCAAGUCUUUUUUCUAAGAAUCAAAUUUUAUCAAAUAAAACAAAAAGCGAGUUUCGCUAUCGAGUAGGAACGCAUGAGUCGAAAAUACAGGGUCCACAAAGACCCUUGAGAGAAUAUAGGGUUUGAUUUAUGUAAACUUGUGUAUUUGAUCUUUCAUAUUUAUUGAAUUUGCUUAAUUUGUAGUCGAUUAGACUUAUGAUUUUUACCUCAAUAGUGUUUUUUUAUUUUUUAUUUUAUGUAUAUUGGUAUGUUUGGUAAUUAUUUUCAAGAACAUUUUUCUUUUUUUUUAGAGCAAAAAAAAAAAAAAAAACAUGUCUCAUAACCAACAAGCUAUUUUCUAUUUUUUGUUCUUAAAAACAAAACACAAAGUAUUUUCAGAAAAUAAUAUAUUUUAGUUGUUUUCACUUAUUUUCACUUGUUUUCUAGAACCGUUUUGAAGAAUAAUUAUACAAACAUGUAAAAUGAUAAAAAAAUAAAAUACUAGAUAUAAAAAUUAUUUUUAAAAAUAUUAAAACAAAUUGAAAACAUUUUAGAUUUCUAGAUAGACUUUUGUUUUACAAAACAUAGAAAAUAGUUUUCAAAAACUGAUUUUCAGAAUUAUUUUUGAAAACAGUCACCAAAUAUGGCAUAUUAUGCCUUUUGUGCAACUAAAAUUCAUUUUAAUAUCUAUAAAAUGUUAUUUGUGAAAAAUUUGAAAUUUAAGACAUCAAAUCAUGGUUACCUAUUCACUCUUGUGUUAAUUUUAGGAAUCAAGAUUUGUACUUUCAAUCGGUAUCAAAGCAUAUUGAAGUUAAAAAAUUAAAUUUUUUAUUCUUGUAUAAUUGUUAUCUAUAUAUCUUAUAUUAAUUAAAGAAAAUAUUAUUUUUAAAAAAUUUGAAAUUUAAGACAUAAAAUGAUGACUACUUAUUCAAUCUCAUGGUAAUUUCAGGAAUUAAGAUUCAUACUCUCAAUUAUUAUCAAACCAUAUUAAAGUUAAAAAAUUAAACUAUUUAUUCCUACAUAAUAGUUGUUCGAUGGAACCACAAAGAGUACAUCAUCUAUAAAAUUUUUAUCAUGGUUUGUCUCAACAAUCUCCGUACCUAAUUUUCUUAGAAUAUACUUUAUAAGAGUAGGACAACAACUCGAGUGGGUUGGGUUGAGUUCAUGGCUAAUCCCACAUCAACCUAUUUCAAUGGGAGAUUGAUUCAACACAUUUGAAUAUAGUAACAUUGGGAAACAUCUUCAUUGUUUCAGUGCUUCAACAAAGGUUUGGAAAUUCUUGUAAGAAGAUCCACCUUCAAUCACACUUUUUCUAGCCAUUUCCUUCAACUUCUCUGCAUUUGCUUUUAUACCAUCAUCAGAAACCAACAUUUCGAUCUUCUUCUUAAUCUCAUGCCUUGAUAUGAAUCCAUUUUCAUCUGGGUUCAACCCCAAGCCCACCUUCCAUUUGUCGCAUAUGUAACUCUGGUUAUGGAAUUGAUCUGCAAAGUAAGGCCAGCAUAGGAAGGGGACUCCCAUGCCUAUGCCGUCCAUGGUUGAGUUCCAUCCACAAUGGGAUAAGAAACAUGCAACAGAAGGGUGAGCUAACACCUUUUCUUGGGGUGCCCAUGAAACAAUCUUUCCAUGCUCAGCUACUCUCUCUAUGAAACCAUCUGGGUAUUCAGCAGCUGAUCCAUUGGUGAAGUCUGAUCGGACAACCCAUAAAAAUGGCCGGCCUACAAGUUCAAUACCCAGUGCUAGUUCAUUGAAUUGGUUCUGGCUUAAGAUUGCUACGCUUCCAAAGGCAACAUAAAUGACUGAGCCAGCAGGUUGCUUAUCGAGCCAGCUUAUGCAAGUUGAAUCCUCAGGCCAAAAGUUUCCAGUAUAAUGACCCAGAUGAUUACUUGCAAGUAACGGGCCUAUUGGUAAUAUGUUGGGAAUCAAGUCACAAGCAGAUGAAUCAAGUUCGUAAACAGAGUUGCAAAGAAGCCAAUUGGAAAGAUUCAUAGCUGAGAUGUCUUUGAAAGCAAAUUGGAAAAUGACCUUUUGUAAGUUUGGAUCACUUGGGCAGCUCCAGGGCAAUUUGUUGCUGCUAAAGGCUGGGAUAUCCUUUGCCAGGGAGAUCAACUCGUCGUUCAAAAGAGAUCCUGCAAAGAUAUUACAAUUAUUAAUUUCCAUCAAAACCAAGAAAAUACUUAGCUACUUCCCCCGAUUUUUAUUGAAUUUUCAGGGGCUAUUAGCUUUAGUCUCUAACUUGUUUUCAAUUACUAGAACCUUCAUGUUUCAACAAAUUUAAUUUUAGAAAUAUGAUAUGUGCAAGUUGAAGUGUUAAUACCAUCAAUACCAUUUACAUGUCCGGCCUCAAUAAGCCUUGGAAUGUGAAAUAACAAAGCCAAGCUUCCUGGUCCACAGGGGCAAAACGCAACGCUCUUGAUCCCCAUCUUCUCGGCAACCUCUAGCGCCCACCCAACUGUUGUAUCAGCAAUAACACAAGUGAUCUUCUCAUCAUCAUUCGAGUUGUUAACCUUCUCAAUCAACUCCUUCAAAUGACCCGGCAUGACUCUUAACAUACUGUCUGUCGACUUGAGUAAAUCUUUUCGAUCCUCCCCUGGACCCAGUCCAUCUGGGAUCGAGGCUAGCCCUAUCCGACUCUGAGCCUCAUCCUCAUCUGGCAGUGCAGCCACCAGUUUUUCAUGUAUGAAGUCUGAGUUAACAAAGGUGACCUUGAUCCCAUGAUCAGAAAUCUGGUACGCAAACUUCAUAAGGGGAGUAACAUGUCCUUGUGCUGGGCAUGGAAUAAUCAGCACAUGAGGUCGGCCCAUGGUUGCUGCCAGCACUUCUGCUUCCUCUGAUCCCAAGUUUCAGGAUUAAUACUGCUUCUCUUUAUUAGCCUGAGCCCUCUAUUGUGUGAAUCGUAUACCUAUUUGCUAAAAUUUUAGCUGCAGC
rnacentral:lncRNA from 1 species